GGGAUAUUGGACAAUGGGGGGAACCCUGAUCCAGCGACGCCGCGUGAGUGAAGAAGUAUCUCGGUAUGUAAAGCUCUAUCAGCAGGGAAGAAAGAAAUGACGGUACCUGAGUAAGAAGCCCCGGCUAACUACGUGCCAGCAGCCGCGGUAAUACGUAGGGGGCAAGCGUUAUCCGGAUUUACUGGGUGUAAAGGGAGCGUAGACGGCCAGACAAGUCAGAAGUGAAAGCCCAGGGCUCAACCCUGGGACUGCUUUUGAAACUGCCGGGCUGGAGUGCAGGAGAGGUAAGCGGAAUUCCUAGUGUAGCGGUGAAAUGCGUAGAUAUUAGGAGGAACACCAGUGGCGAAGGCGGCUUACUGGACUGUAACUGACGUUGAGGCUCGAAAGCGUGGGGAGCAAACA
rnacentral:rRNA from 1 species